rnacentral:rRNA from 1 species
UACGAAGGGGGCUAGCGUUGUUCGGAAUUACUGGGCGUAAAGCGCACGUAGGCGGACAUUUAAGUCAGGGGUGAAAUCCCAGAGCUCAACUCUGGAACUGCCUUUGAUACUGGGUGUCUUGAGUAUGGAAGAGGUGAGUGGAAUUCCGAGUGUAGAGGUGAAAUUCGUAGAUAUUCGGAAGAACACCAGUGGCGAAGGCGGCUCACUGGACUGGUAUUGACGCUGAGGUGCGAAAGCGUGGGGAGCAAACAGG